ensembl:lncRNA
AAAAGUGUCAGUAUAGCAUGAACCUUCAGUAUCUGCUGGCUUCAGAUGACUCUCCCUGCACGUGCCACACUUCCCAGUGUCUGCUUUUUGGAUCUGGGAAGGGAGAACCCAUGAGAGCAAGGUUGUAUUGAAGGCUGGAGUUAACACGUUAAUGGGUAUUGAUCUCACAGAGCAAUUGUUCGGAGGCCUUCACCAAAUCAAGUCCUUUCUGUGAGCUAACUUCAGAAAAAUGCAAAUGUCCCAGGAGAUAACUCCUUUCUUGGCAGCCCCAGAGGUCCUGCACUGCCUUCUCCCACCCGACUCUCACAGUUUGUAACAUCUGAGUAUACUUAAUAUUUCCCAGCUGUCUUAACAAUGUCUGUUAGUUUUUCCCCCCAGAAUUGACACUCCUUAUGCUUUUGGAUGUGAGAGACCAGGGUGCAAAUAAAUCCCGUGUCCUUCAUAGCUGAACAGGUUUCCUGGCUAAGAGGAGCAGCUGGUGACAGCAGUCACCACCCAGCUCCCUGGGCUACAUGGGACAGGGGGGACAGGAGGUUCUCAAGGAUUUCACAAGCUCCUGUGAUCUGCCAUGUGCGGAUCACCCCGAUGUCGGAGAAAUUAGUCUGCAGGUCCAGGAAGCACGUAAACAUCAUAUGAGGAUCACACCUGAAUUGGGGGAAAUUCUGAAGAACGAGUGUGUCAGCAGACAGGCAGGUUUGGCUGCAAUCCAGGAGGAAGGAUUGAAAGUCAACAAACAAAAGGUUCAAUUAGUGCAACAAGAGCUUUCAACAUCCUCAAAGGCAUCUAAUUGUUCAGGACAUACUGAGUAUCUGCACUUACAGAAAUCAAGCCUCAAGUGGAACUCCCCUGAAAGCAAGGCACCGGGAAGCCAAGAUUAGUUUUCAGAAAGGGCUCACCUUUACUCCAGCUUGCCUUUGUCCUUCACUGGCACUUUGCAGCACAGCAAUCUCUCUUUGAACAGUGAUAGCAAGUUCAGAUCUGGUGCAGCUCUGCUCAGCCCAAAAGGGAGCGGGAAGGAGAAAUGAGAAGCUGGUGAAAGGCCUUACGGACAAACAUGCACUCCAGGUGGGACCAGCCUCCUCAUGGAGGUGCAGUCAAGGCAGUUGUUAUUUCUCUUUUGGCCGUCUUUUGUUUUCUGUCCUACAGAAAAUUUUCACUCACUGCUUUCUGGAUCCAGAAUGCUCUGUGUAUUAUAAAGGCCAAAACUUCUGGGGGAAACCAGCACACACUCCAUCAAGGGCAAUGGUCUAAGUGUACCUAGAUUAGCUGAGGACCAGGCCCAAAAAUGUUUUUGGUAGGAUUCCCGCAAUCUGCUUUUAGCCUUUUGAAGCCUAUUUAGUCUGAGCUUAUUUCUUAAUCUUCUCCUGCAGUCAACAGGGAGAAGAGUUGAUUCAUCCCAGCAUAAAAUAGAGGUCGGAGACAGAAGGGAUGGCUUCCUGCCCUAAAAAUACCUCCCCUUUCUUUGGCACAAAAUUGUUAAGUGACAGAAUCAUAGCAUCAUAGAAUUGCUAUGGAUGGAAGAGACCUUUAAGAUCAUCAAGUCCAAU